rnacentral:misc_RNA from 1 species
UCUCCGUAGGUGAACCUGCGGAGGGAUCAUUACAGAGUUUUUUCCCGCAAGGGUAGAUCUCCCACCCUAUGUUAUGCCUUCUCUGUUACUUUCGCGGGCCGUCCGGCCUCGGUCACGCCACCGCCUCCGGCUGUUGCGCGCCCGCCAGAGGACCCCUACCCCUAAAUGUCAGUGUCGACUGAGUACUAUAUAAUAGUUAAAACUUUCAACAACGGAUCUCUUGGUUCUG